rnacentral:misc_RNA from 1 species
AAGUCGUAACAAGGUCUCCGUUGGUGAACCAGCGGAGGGAUCAUUACCGAGUUUACAACUCCCAAACCCAAUGUGAACGCUACCACUGUUGCCUCGGCGGGAUCGCCCCGGGCGCGUCGCAGCCCCGGGCCAAGGCGCCCGCCGCAGGGAAACCAAAACCCUACUGUUUCGGCCGCCCCCGCGGCGGCCACCAGAUACUUCUGAGCUUCUCCGACGCUCCCUGGAGCGGACGAAAUGAAUCAAAACUUUCAACAACGGAUCUCUUGGCUCUG